AUUGAACGCUGGCGGAAUGCUUUACACAUGCAAGUCGAACGGCAGCACGGGGCAACCUGGUGGCGAGUGGCGAACGGGUGAGUAAUACAUCGGAACGUGCCCAAUCGUGGGGGAUAACGUAGCGAAAGUUACGCUAAUACCGCAUACGAUCUACGGAUGAAAGCGGGGGAUCGCAAGACCUCGCGCGAAUGGAGCGGCCGAUGUCAGAUUAGGUAGUUGGUGGGGUAAAGGCUCACCAAGCCAACGAUCUGUAGCUGGUCUGAGAGGACGACCAGCCACACUGGCACUGAGACACGGGCCCGACUCCUACGGGAGGCAGCAGUAGGGAAUAUUGGACAAUGGGCGCAAGCCUGAUCCAGCCAUCCCGCGUGAAGGAUUAAGGCCCUCUGGGUUGUAAACUUCUUUUCUCUGGGAAUAAAAGUGGAAUUCAUUCCGCCUUGAAGGUACCAGAGGAAUAAGCACCGGCUAAACUCCGUGCCAGCAGCCGCGGUAA
rnacentral:rRNA from 1 species